GACGAACGCUGGCGGCGUGCUUAACACAUGCAAGUAGAACGGAAAGGCACUGCUUGCAGGGUACUCGAGUGGCGAACGGGGGAGUAAAACGUGGGUGAACUGCCCUGCACAUCGGGAGAAGCCUGGGGAACAGGGUCUAAUACCGGACAGGAGACAAGUUUAGGGUGAUGGUUGGAAAGUAUGUUCGGUGUAGGAUGAGCCCGCGGCCUAUCAGCUUGUUGGUGGGGUAAUGGCCUACCAAGGCGGCGACGGGUAGCCGGCCUGAGAGGGUGGACGGCGCCCUUGGGACUGAGGGACGGCCCAGACUCCUACGGGAGGCAACAGUGGGGAAUCUUGCCCAAUGGGCGCGAGCCUGAUGCGGCGGCGCCGCGUUGGGGAUGCCGGCCUUCGGGUUGUAAACUCCUUUCGCUAGGGACGAAGCUUUUUGUGACGGUACCUAGAUAAGAAGCACCGGCUAACUACGUG
rnacentral:rRNA from 1 species